AUUGAACGCUGUCUGCAGGCCUAACACAUGCAAGUCGAGCGAGCGGCGGACGGGUGAGUAAUGCCUGGGAAUAUGCCUUAGUGUGGGGGAUAACUAUUGGAAACGAUAGCUAAUACCGCAUACGCUAAGGUUAUCCCAGGUGAGAUUAGCUAGUUGGUGAGGUAAGAGCGCACCAAGGCGACGAUCUCUAGCUGGUCUGAGAGGAUGAUCAGCCACACGGGAACUGAGACACGGUCCAGACUCCUACGGGAGGCAGCAGUGGGGAAGAUGGCACAAUGGGCGAAAGGCUGAUACAGCCAUGCCGCGUGUAUGAAGAAGGCCGUCGGGUUGUAAAGUACUUUCAGUAGGGAGGCGUUACCGACAGAAGAAGAAUCGGCUAACGCCGUGCCAGCAGCCGCGGUAAUAC
rnacentral:rRNA from 1 species